AGCUCCAGUGACUGCUGCUCGCGAGUGUUUUCAUUUUUUUGUUUUUGUUUUACAAUAAAAUACAAAUUUUAUCCCGUUAACGUUAUAUUUCUAUGCUCCAAUAAUGAUCGUAGCGAUUGCGCCAAAUUUUAAAAACGCGAAUACAUUUAACUUUUUCUUAUCCGUUCGGUAGAACACAACGAAUCGUUGCUAUAAAACGGUUACGGACGGAUGGCCAAAAAUUACCAUAGAUUUCGGUUUUAUUUGCGAUAAGUACCGACAUUUUUUUUUUUUUAUUUUUCUCGACUUUCCACGGUGGGCGUCGUAUUCGAAAUUAAUUCGUGUUUUAUUCGUGUUGUCCUCGAAAAAAUAUGAGAUUUAGUGUGUGUGUUCGCUUGCGGUUUCUACGUAUUUACGGACAAUGCGGUUUUCGUGCCGCGAUAACGAUACCCGAUCGAUAAAAAUAAUAUCGGGUUCUUUAACGAUAAAAUAAUGUAGUCGUUCGACAGGUAUAGGCUAUAGGCCCAUGCCGGAUACGAUAAGACGAGUAAAAAAAAAAAAAAAAAAAUAAAAAUCGCACGGUC